rnacentral:lncRNA from 1 species
AACAGGAAAUUUGUGAGAAUCCUCGAUUUAUCAUUGGUGGAGCCAACAGAACUGACAUCUGUCAAGGAGAUCUAGGUAGGAAAGUACCCUCGGGUCAUAUCCAGCCAAACAAUCAAGGGGUGAUUAAAAGGUGAUUAACAUCUGGUUUGGCUUUUAAAGAAUUUUGGGGAGGAGGUUUUUAUAACACUACUUUGUGCCCAUUUAUCUAUGUGCUGGUGAUGGUUUCAUUUAAUUUCUGUCCCCCCCCCCACGAUCUCAUGAGUUCACAGGGGAUAUGCCUCAGUCCACAGCAUCCUCCUGACAGUCUGAAGGACAUUUGCACACCCCACUCAGGAGGAUAAAAGCCCUGCUUUUAACUGCACCCAUUUCCUUAAAAGAGAGCCCUGAAACUGUCUGAAUACCAAGCAUGUCCCUUGAAUAUAUAUUGAAUCCAUAUGCACACAAAAAGUGCACUUGUAACUCAAACUCUUGUUUAAAACGCCCCAGCCAGAGUAGCUCCAUAUUAAUGGAGUCUUUCAACAAGGAUGACAUUUGCCAUAUUGAUGAGCACCCAGCGUUCUGUCCGGGUGGUCACCUUGGCUCUUCUACCAGACCUUCCUCUCUCAGGAAGUACUAUCUUUGGCGUGGACUGCAGGAAAGCUCUACACUUGAUCUUAGCCAAAAGGCCAAAAAGCGACUGACUGCAGGAAACUCUAUGAAGCAAAGGUGGAAAGAACAUCAACAGACCUACUUUAAAAUUUGAGGGAAAGGUGCACUCGAGACCAAAUGAAAGGAAUUUGGCCCCAGAAAGAGAGGCUGAGGAGGUUUUCAAUAUCGGGGUUCCUGCACCCGGGAGAAAGAUGUCUGCAGAGCCCUGGGAGAGCUAAUAACCUGGACUUCCUAACACUGUUUCAAAGGAGAGGCUUGCUUCUUCAGGGGUGGGGGUGGGGAGGACGGCUGCUGGGAGCUCUCAGUUUCCCCUCUACAGUCUCAAAGAUGCUGUCACAUCCACACAGGAAAUCAAAGGCCUUGCACAACUCAACCCAUCUGCUUAGAAGGAAAUUCUAUGACUGUCAGUGUGCCAGGCAUGCCCCUUGGGGAUUCUAUUUCUCUUUCUCUCUCUCUCUCUCUCAUACACACACACACACACACACACACACAGCAAAAUCACUAAAUAUAGCAUUCUGCCAGAAAGGAAGUUCAGAGAAUAAGAAAAUAUCCCCAUCUCAUUCCAUGGCCAGCAAUGUCUCAGCGCCCUCAAAAAGUGGCUGCAGAGAAGCUGCUUUACUGGCUUUCCUUCCAGUACAAGAGGGCUUGGCCGAUGGCUCUCAGAUGCUCAGUCUCCACUGAGGUAUGCACUCACAUUGCAAAAGUCCAGGAAGUACAGAUUUCAUCCAGGUGUUAGGAAGAAUGACACAUUUGACCUACUGCUCUGUGUUCAUUGAGGUCCAAAAAGGAAGUGAGCUUAUAUUACGGAAGGAGCCAUUGCCUAUACCCUUCUGGAAAACCAGUCAGAAGAGAGUAAGUCACCCUGAUCGAAUUGUCGAGGGACUGCCAUCAAACUCCUCCGGGUCGACCUCUCUGAGGUCAGAUCUGGAAGUAGGACAGUGAACACUAAGUGAACUUGUUCUUCAGAGAAGCAGAAGAAUCAGCUGGGAUUGGGCCUUUUUCUUCCCCGGAGGUGACCUAUGCCAUGUACUUUCCCCGCAGGGGACUGCUGGUUUCUCGCAGCCAUUGCUUGCCUGACCCUGAACGAGCGCCUGCUUUUCCGAGUCAUACCCCAUGAUCAGAGUUUCACUGAAAACUAUGCGGGCAUCUUCCACUUCCAGGUGAGGUCAUUGGAGUGUGGUUAAGAGGGCCAGCUGCUUUUCGGAAACCCACCUUUUCAGGAACACUUACCUCAAACACCACAAGCGUGUGGAGGUUUUCCCAUCACCACAAUGUGUUUGGAAUGUACCACUUACAUAUGUUAUUAUUUGUUUUCUAUAAUAUCAAAAUUGAUUUUUGAGAAUUCUUAUAGAUCAUUCAUAUGAUUAAACUUUUAUUAAAUGUUUUCACAAUUGUGUUUAAAAAAGAAAAAACAGUAAAGGAAGAGGGCCAGCUGCUGUCCACCCACCGCUGGUCUUCUGGCCUUGACUUUCCAGCGGCUUCAGGAAAGAUUCCACCCACCCUCCCAGUCUUGGCUGUGGGCAGUGACCCCCCUAAGGCCUCAGGCCUGUGAGGACGCAGUUGUUUAUCUCUGCCCCCUCAGCAGCCCCCCUCCCAAAACCCCAUCUUCCGCCAUGCUCCAGAAAGGCAGGAAGACAUCCUGUUUGCUGGCCUGUGGAUCUAUUUUUGCCUUUCCAUCUAUUUCUGCUGUGUUACCUGCAGCCUUUCUCAAGUAGGUUCCUAAGAUAUUAGCAUUGGCGGUUCAUAGGGCCCUUUAGUUUGCAAAGGAAACCCCCUGAAUGACUAUGGCUCCUUUCCCUGUUUUGCUUUAAAGGCAGGUCUAUACCAAGUCUAUCACUCACCUUUUCCAGGCCUUGGAAGGACAAUCUGGUCAAUCUGGGGACCAGGCUUCUGGCUCAGCCCAGAAAGGAGUCUUUUGGUUCCAGAAUCAACUAAACCAUUGGAAAUUUUCUAGAUCCAAAAUCUAGACGCAAAAUCAGAGAGCCAGAUCCUGGUGCUGGCCCAAAACUGAAGUGAGCUCCACACGUGGGGAUCUAGCAGAUGCUGGGAUUCUGAGGCAUCCAUCUGUUUCCAGCCCUGAAAGCACCCCCCCCCCCACAUGUCCUGGGACUGACCCAAAUCAUCAGUUGAUGUACCUGCUGAUUUUGUACCUCAGGACUGAAGGCUUGAGAGAAGGUCUUCUUUUCAGGUUCAGGUUCAGGUCCUGCUGCCCUCUGAACACGGGUAAGGCAGCCAGGCCCUCAUUUUCGUUUCUUCCCUGUGCCAUCAAGCUGCUAGUUUCCCUCUGAUAUUUAAAGGGUCUUCUACCUAAAUAGGGCCACAAAUAUAAAGACCACAUAGAUUUUUUUCCCCUCUUUUCAAUAAGGGAAAACAAUGUCAUUAGAGGGGAAAUUAAACCACAUUUGGCAGUCUUCAGUUAAAAUUGGUUUGUUCAAAAAAGAACAUUCAGAAUUGAAAUUAUUCAACAAUGUUCCUGUUAUAGCCAGAGUAUAUUCUGGGACACUCUCCUUUUCCCUAUCAGUCUUCUUCAGCAGCCAUUUCUACCUUGUUUGUCAUAAAGAGAUCUAUAAAUCAAUACGUCACCUUCACCUAGGCCAGCAGUUCUCAACGCUGCUGCAUAUUAGAAUCAGCUAAAAUACCUAAAAUAUGAUGCAUAGGCCCCACUCCAGACUUACUGAGCAGGAGAAUGACAAUCUCAAGCCCUCAGAUAUUCAUGGGGGACCUACCAUCCCUGAGGCUGGCCGGACUGUGUGCAAGAGAGAAAGCAAGAUAUAGCCCACGUUCCUGCCCCCAAGGAACUCACGGUCCAGUUAGAGAAAGAUACACACGCUCCAAAACCAAAAGAGUAUGAACAAGGACCAAGUGCAGAGCUGAGGCAAUGGGACCGCUUUGGGAUCAAAGAGAGUCUGAGGAAUGUGGAGGAGAGGCACGUGGUAACCUGACGAUGUGACUCUGUCCUUGGUGCCUCUGUGCAGUUCUGGCGCUACGGAGACUGGGUGGAUGUGGUCAUUGAUGACUGCCUGCCGACUUACAACAAUCAACUGGUUUUCACCAAGUCCAACCACCGCAAUGAAUUCUGGAGUGCUCUGCUGGAGAAGGCUUAUGCUAAGUAAGGCAACACUUGAGGAUGUGAGGCAGGGCUAAAGGUGGUGGGCUGCAAAAUCCAGCUGAAAUCUUGUCACAAGAGGCCGCGUGCAUGCACAUGUGCGCAUGCGUAACAGUUCAACUGGGUCCCUAAGUCUGAGGGGGUCGGGUCCAGGCAGCAACGGCUAUAACUAAAAAACUGUAUUUAAGGGGAGGAUGAAGACAUGUGUAGGAAAUCUUUAGCUUUAGCCUCCCAUAGUGAGCACUUUAAUUCUGCCUUCGUGGUGAUGUUGCAAGUCUUAUAUUUGAGCAUUAGAUCUUUGAAGCUCACAUUCCCAGAGUCUUGCUUGGCUCAACCUCAUGAUCACGCGGGAUAUUAAUAAAGCCAUGUUAUCUCUCAACUUGGAAGCUCCACCCCAGCUAUUUCUAAGGGCUCUAUGGAGCCCUUCCUUGGGGUUCAGGGUAUGGUGGAAAGAGAAGAGUCAGGAAGUGAGAAUGGCUGGGUUCCCAUCCCAGUGUUUCUGGUUCUCUGUGGCCUCGGGUAAGCCACUUAGCCUAUAAGACUCAGUUGCUCGAAAGUGAAGAAAGAGAAUCAUAGUAGCUACUCCAUUAGCUUACAGAGUUGUUGGAGAAUUAGAUAAGAGAACAUCACAGGACCCGAGAGUAAAAUUCUGGUGGCCCAGGGCCUGGGUCAUGUUUCCUGGAACCCUGUGACCUCAGAUUGGUCUUCAUUCUCUCUCCAAGGCUCCAUGGUUCGUAUGAGGCCCUGAAAGGUGGGAACACUACAGAGGCCAUGGAGGACUUCACAGGAGGGGUGACAGAGUUUUUUGAGAUCAAGGAUGCUCCCAGAGACAUGUACAAGAUCAUGAAGAAAGCCAUCGAGAGAGGCUCCCUCAUGGGCUGUUCCAUUGAUGUAAGCCUGGGGUGUGGUGUGCAGGGCAGGGAGCAGGCAACUAUCGGGAAGCCAUCCAUGUGAUGAAAAGCAAUGUAGGGCUUUCCUCUGGGACAGGGUGGAUGUUUUGUUUAAGGAAGCAGGAACUGGCUCUCAACUUUGAAAAUUUCUAAAGGAAGAAGAGUUCCUAGGGAUUUUCACUAAGGAGACUGGGCAAAGACACUCCAAGGCCUAGACUUUAGGUAGAAAUAGGUCCAGAGGCGUGUGUCAGCCCCGGCCUCUGUGGCCAGUGCUGCUCAACCCCAGCAUGCCCCCAAUUAAGCUGGCUGCAUAUCUGGUUCUGGACCUGAGCCAGCCAGUUCCCUGAGACAGCCUCUCAGUCACUGAGCUGUGAUCCUGUCUCUCACUUAGGACACGGGCCUUGUGUUGUGAUCUGGGAGAAGGUCGGCCUGCAGGCGCACUCUCAACACAACAGAGUAGUGUGAUCUGACACUGGGGCUAAGGGUAUGGAGACCCACAGAGUGGCCAGCCCUCCUGAGUUUCAGGAGACACACCUGCCCUGGGGGCUGCUCAGUGGAUAAUAGUCUUGGCUGGAGCUUUCCAUCACGGAGGAAGGAACUGAAGCUGAAUUCCUGAAUUUCCUUCCUCUGCUAAUACUCCAAAUGGGUCCAAAAGCUUGGGAAGAUCAGCUAGCAUUAAACACCCCUGGAUGAACAUUUUCUUUCUGCAUCACUUUUCUCCAUCUUGUCUCCAUUCACACUGUUUCUCUCUCCUCUUUCCCUUUGUCCCCUCCCUUCUUUCUGUCUCCUUCCCUUUCUAUCACCCUCCUUUGUUUGAUCUCUCCCUCCCUCUUCUGGACUGUCCCCGGCCCAUCCCGUCGGGCCUCAGGAUGGCACAAACAUGACCUAUGGAACCUCUCCUUCUGGGCUGAAAAUGGGGGAGUUGAUUGCACGGAUGGUGAGGAAUAUGGAUAACUCGCUGCUCAGGGACUCAGACCUCAUCCCCAGGGACUCAGAUGACAGACCAACCCGGGUGUGUACACCUCCAAUUGUCAGGAAUGACCACCCCUCCCACCUGCAUGACCCUGCAUGAGGCCUGUUGGUGUUAGACUCCCCUCAGCAGCCAGUGCCUUACAUGCAGACCUCCACAUGGGCCUUCCAGGGGGCUGGGGUGGAAUAACUUGCCUGCUCCAAGGCUCUUGGACAAGGUGGGGGAGACAGGAUUUGGAGGAACUCUCUGUGGGAGUUCUUUCAUACCCCGUGGUCCAGGCAGUUUCUCUGAUAACAAAUUAACAAGUAGAAAUACAAGAGACUUUGUUCAUUGUUAAAUAUUUCUUCUCUUCUAAUUCAGGUAUUCAUUCAACGCAGAUUUAUUGAGCUCCUACCAGGUGCCAGACACUCUUGUAGUAAACAAACAAAAAAAAUACAUUUUGUUCACUAAAAGAGUCUCUCCCCUCACAGAGUUUAUUUUCUAGUACUUUCAGAAGUAAUGCAUGCUCACUGAAAAAUACUUAUAGAAAAGCAUGGAGAAAAACUUAACACAUGUUUUCUCCCAUCUAAAGGUUGCAACUCUGAGUAUGUAGUAUAUGUCCUUCUAGGAUAUUUCUUUGCGUACAGUUAAUCUACAUUUUUAUUUUUAAAAUGUUGUCACACUGUAUGUACCUCUUUGCAUUGUGUCUUUUUUCAGUUAGCUUUAUGUUCUUCAUGUGCCAAUAUGAACUAUAUUGUUAAUGUGUCUCCCAGAACAUUCUUUAAUGUUUAUUUAUUUUUGAGAGAGAGAGAGCACCCGAGCAUGCGAGUGUGAGUGGGGGAGGGGCAGAGACACAGAGGGGAACAGAGAAUCCAAAGCGGGCUCUGCACUGACAGCAAUGAACCCGAUGCGGGGCUCAGACUCAUGAACCGUGAGAUCAUGACUUGGGCCAAAGUCAGUUGCUCAUCCGACUGAGCCACCCAGGUGCCCCUCAAAACAUUUUUUUAGUGGUUGCACAGUGUGCCAACACACAGAUAAGUUAUAAUUUAUUUACCCAAUACCCUAUCAUUGGAAAAUUAGAUUGUUUUCUCUUUCUUGUGUUGGCUAUUAUUUUUAAAUGCUAUCUUGAACAUCCUAAUAGAUAUAUCUUUGUGUGUGUCGUGAUAAUUUCUUUGGGACAGAAUGCCAGGGAAGGAAUUGCUAGCUGUGCAAAAGUAAUGCCAAUAGAGUCAUUUCAAGUGGUUUCCCAGGUCUAGACUUGAAAGAUGCAUGGACCUGCUUCCACAUCCUUUCUAUUCAGCAUGGUCUGGGUCACGUAAGGACGAAGAUGUGGAAGAGGCCAAGAUGCCAAAAGCCCUGGCUCCACCUGCAUCCCUGAAGUUGAAAAGGCUCACAAAUUGCACAGCCUAGCAUGGCUCCAGGAAGCUCUUCUUAAAGCUGUUAUGUUACCAGGCAAAGGAGAGCCAUAGAGAUAUGGUCUAGGGUUCAAUGGGCAUUGGAGAUCCUAUCCCUCUACUGAGCAUCUUCUGGGGCUGAAACUUGGUAAUUUCUACAAAUCCAAGAGCUUCCCCUAGACCGGUAGGCCAAAUCAUGUCUGAAUAGGACUCGACUCUGACCUCCUCCAAAUUCCUUCCCUGGGCACUGUGACUAUUGAUUUCUUGAGUAUUCUGUUCUUGAUGGGUAUUGAGGGGGGAAUGGGAUAUACAGAGAGAAGGUUAGACCUGUAUGUUUCAUCUAACCUCUUUUUUCAAUUCCUUUCUCUUCCAGGAGUUGUCAAGUCUGGGUGGGCUCGAGGGAAGGGGCCUACAUUUGUCCCUGUUCCUCCUUUGAAAGACCCCAAGAGAUCCAGAAAGGAGGGCCAGGGAUCUGCUUACCUACAUCGACAUUGUCCCAGCCUCAUACUGUUCUCCGAUGGUCAGAACAGACCUUUUCAGGGCAACCAGCUUGAGGGAGACCACUUGUCUGGGCUAUGUCUUCUUGACUCUCUAAAAGAGCCAGGGAGGGCCUUCUCAUGGCCAGGAUGUCCACUUUCAGAGCACAGAGGAGUCUGUGUCCUCGCAGAACCUGGAAAAUGAUCCAAUGUGUGCAGGCCCUGAUAGGCUGUCUGGUUUUUGCUCCACAGACAAUUGUUCCGGUUCAGUAUGAAACAAGAAUGGCUUGCGGGCUAGUCAAGGGCCAUGCCUACUCUGUCACUGGGCUGGAGGAGGUGAGGCUGAUGGCGCGGGUGGCUGGGGAGCUAUUUGGGUCAGCCUCCUGAAGUCAGGACUUAACUUACUGGGCCCCUUCACCUAGGCAGAGCUUGCCUCCUCUCAGAGGCACCACUCAUGGUCUGGGCCCAGCACCUGCAUGCAGUUAGAGGGGACCAUUGGGACUGUGAGACGUGGAUCUUGCCACAAGGUGGUGCUCAGUUCAUCUUUGCUUUUAGCGCUAAAAAUGGCAGUUUUCCCAACAGUUCCAGGGAACAAAUAGAAAUCACUUUGGUUUUAUGAAAUUGAUUUCAUGGGCUCUCAUGUCUCCUUUUCUUUGGGAGUUGAACAGAUUCAAUACUUUGCUCCCCCUGACACGUCGGGCUGAAGACAGGAAAUUUGUCAGGACUAUUGUGCACAGCUGGGCAGGCAGGCUGUGCCCUGUUCACAGGGAUGGGCAGAGACUGGAGGAAGGGGUGCCUUUUUCUUUUCUUUUUUUCUUUUUUUUUUUGAGAGACAGAGACAGCACAAGCAGGGGAGGGGCAGAGAGAGAGGGAGGCACAGAAUCCGAAAUAGGCUCCAGGCACUGAGCUGUCAGCACAGAGCCUGACUCAGGGCUCAAAUUCACAGACUGCAAGACCACCUGAGCCAAAGUUGGACACUUGACUGACUGAGCCACCCAGGUGCCCCAAAGGGCACCUUUUUCUAAUCAGUCCAUCUAUGAUGGCCAUUUCUGUAUAGUUACUCAGCCAGCAGGGUGUUUUUUCUAAUUCAAACAAAGACACCUAAUGUGUUAGAGUGGCCCUACAGUAUAUGCCCUCCCUCCUCCCCCAAAGCUCAUAAUGGCUGGGAAAACCACUUCUUAGAAGAUGGUCAAGCCCUAACCUCUGCAGACUCAGUCCUAAGGUUCUGACCAUUCACCUUGCCAUUCUGCAAGCGUGCCUCUGAUUAGUCUCCCCGACCAGGACCAGGCAGGACAGCCCCCUGUACAGGAUUCUGUCCCCAUUCCCUCCCCAGCCCUCAGGGCAAGACAGAAAACCCCCUUUCCAGAAAGGCCCAUAGCAAGAGUUUUUUCUCUUUGCCCAAGACCCUGUUCAAGGGUGAGAAAGUGAAGCUGGUACGGCUGCGGAAUCCCUGGGGCCAGGUGGAGUGGAACGGCUCCUGGAGUGACAGGUAGGUGAGGGGGACGGUCCAUGAGAAGGGGACAAACAGCCUGGGGCAAGGCUGGGUUGCAUAUCAAGAUAUAUGAGGAUUACAAAUGCGUGGUCUAAAAUUACCCUCCAGACCCAUGAUCCACAGAGGGGAAGUGGGUAUGUGGGCUCUAGGGAAAGGCCCACAGAAGAGCCAGGAGAGCUGGGGAUCCAGAGACCUCACUGAUGGCAUUGACUGGAAAGUUUCUAAAAAGCACGGGCUAGGUCCAGGUAGAAGCAAAGUGUGAAUGCAGGGGUCUGGACUAGACAAGGGAUUUCCCUUCUCAGAGUCUCUGUGUCCUUAUCUGUAAAAUGGGAACAACACUAACACUUACGUGGUGGGCUGGAGAGUGCCUAGCCAGUGCUAAGAUUUCCUGUCCCUUGCUGUCCCCAUGAAAAAGGUGCACAGUCCCCCUGAAAGAUCUUACCACUUAUCAGUGAAUGGAAUGAACUGGGUGCAGCGAAAGUACAAACACGGGGGACAUUUACAAAGGAACAUUUACAAGGCUUCAUAGGCUGAUGGCCAAUUGCCUCACUGAGUGGAGAGAAGCCCCUUGAGUGCCUCUUUUAUUCCCAAGAGGAGAUAGCAGGACUCAGUAGCCAUGUGUGCCUUCAGCCCCUGUGCUUACCUCCACCCAGGGCACCAUCAUUACUGGUUCAUUCAGCUCUUCAUUUGCUGAGUAAGUCUUAUUGAGCACCUACUGAACAGCAGGCACAGGCACAGACACUGAGGAUAUUCUGUGAAUAGGCAGCCUCCCUGGAUGACUGAGGGGUUGACUCUAGUCCUCUUACUGCCUCUUGCAGCCAUUCUCUGGCAUUCCUUCACUCAUCAGGGAGACAAAUCCUUACUUCCUCUGUGCUGAGUGUGCGGCCAGCCCCAUGCUACUAGCUGGGACCUAGAAACGAACAGACAUAGGCCCUGCCCCUGCAGACUCCAGUGGGAAGGACAAAAAAAGCCCCACUGAUGAUUAAAAUAAAUGCUAUCAUAAAGGUCACAAAGAAGGAUCCCCUCACCUAGUUUGCAUGGGACAGGAAGAAUAGAAAAAUGUGGCCUGGUGAGAGUGGCAUUUGACCUGUGCUCUCUGCUCUGGGAAGACCCUCAGUGCCCCAGCAGUUGUCCAUUCUACUGGGCCAGGUCACCCACAGGGACCCUCACUGUGUCCUCCAGCCUCAUUGUUUGGUGUCCAGCCUUAACUCAUGUCCUGCCAAUGCCUCGACUGCAGGGACUGCUGACAAGUGGGGCCCAUCUCUGGGCCUGUAUUGUAUCCUCCCCCCUUUUUUUAAUAUUUAUUUAUUUUUGAGAGAGAAAGAGAGGGAGGGGCAUAGAGAGCGGGAGACAGAGAAUCAUAAGCAGGCUCCGCACUGUCAGAAGAGAGCCCGAUGUGGGGCUCGAACUCACAAACCCUGAGAUCACAACCUGAGCCAAAAUCAAGUCUGAUGCUUAACCAGGUGAGCCAGUUGAGCUACCUGAGCCGCCUAGGGGCCCUCCCAACCCCCCCCCCAACCCUCCCCACCCCAUGUCCCUCCUUCUGCUGUCUCAGUAAUCUCCAUUUCCCCUCUAGCAUUCCCUGACCCCAAGCACUUCCUCAAUCUUUUACCUUUCCAAGGACAACCCAGUUUAGUUUUAUUCUCCUCAACAAGCCUGAAACACAGAUGUGUUGUUUCCUCCCUCUUGAGGAGACAUGUGGAAAAAUCAUCCUGCCUUUAGAAACAUGAAGCCAGGCUAUUUCCUGGGGUGACAGGAGAAAGGAAAUGUUUACAUACAUGGUGUUUUUCUCAGUAACUCAGUUACUUGUUAGAUGGCAGGCACUGGUCUACAAGUUUUACAUGUAUUAUUUCAUUCAUUGCUCAUCACAGCCAUAUAAGUAGAUCAUAAUACUCAUUCUUCUUUUGCAAUUGAGAAAACAGAAGCUGAGAGGUUAAGUGCCAUGCCCAAGGUUAUGUAGCUAGCAAUGGUAUUAUCAAAUGGCAUCCAGUUAAUCUAUUUCCAAAGGUCAACUCUUAACCUUUAAAGUGAGGAGGGAUAUGGGACACCUGGGUGGGUCAAUCAGUUAAGCGGACUUCAGCUCAGGUCAUGAUCUCGAAGUCCCAGAGUUCAAUCCCCGUGUUGGCCUCUUUGCCGACAGCUCACAGCCUGAAGCCUGCUUCAGAUUCUGUGCUUCUGUCUCUCUGUCCCUCCCCUGUUCACUCUCUCUCUCUCUCUCUCUCUCUCUCAAAAACAAACAAAAACAAAAAAACAGAAAUGAAAAACAUUAAAAAAAAUUUAAAGUGUGAGGAGGAAACAAAAAAUUGUCCAGAGAAAGGUUAAGCCCUUACAAACCCAUUUAAGGCCUUACUUACUCCUGAGGAUAGUAGAAGGCCAUUACUGGGUUUUACACUGAGGGAAUCAGAUCAGAUUUCCAUAUCUGAUGCUUCCUGCUUGCUGCAAUUUGGAGAUGGGCUACUCUUUCAACUUUUUCGUAUUUCUCUUGAUACCUCCUGUCCCAUCCCACGUCAGGCCUCUCCCGUUCUUCUUCCUUCCAUAAUUCCUCCAUUUUCCCUCCAGUUGGAAGGACUGGAGCUUUGUGGACAAAGCUGAGAAGGCCCGUCUGCAGCACCAGGUCACUGAGGAUGGAGAGUUCUGGUGAGUCCAGGACCCAAGAGGACCCUGAAGGGUAAGGGAUCCAGUGGGGAGCUGAAAUCUCAAACCUCAAUCCCUGGAAAGAGGCCAUCACAUUGUAGCUCUCAGGAGAUCUGGGCCCUGUUCUCUUCCUCCAGCCCAAAGCCCAACAGGAUGGGGUUCUGAGAGGAGCCAGCCAGUCACAGAAACAACUAGAGCCUGGGACCAGGCCAGCACAAGGUGGCUCCUGCUUCGCCUAUAUCCCUCCGACGUGCACAUGGCCCCAGCCACUUGCUCCCUGUCUCCUGGGCCAAAGCAGCUCUGCUUUGCUCACCCAAUGCCACCCUCAUCCUCACUCGGCUCAUUUCUACUCAGCCCUUGAGUCUCAGCUUAAAGGAAACUUUUCCGGAUCCCUGUGUUUUGCCCAGAACUGGGAUUAAUUAGUGAGACUCAUCAUCCUUGAAAUUGCUUGCUUAGUUGUCUGUCCUUCCUCAAACUGUCUUUCUUUCCGGUGAGCCCAGCACAGCACCGGGGCCCAGGGCAGAGGCACACGGUGCCAUUGGGAGAACUGAAUUGCUACCGAGCUCUCCCAGAGAGGACACAGGAGUUUGAGCUAUUACUGGAAGAGACAGUAGUUUGGGGUGGAGGCAUGAGAACUGACAGUGUUUACCCUAACGAGGAAGGGCAGGGGCGUCCCUGGGGCCAUGCCCAAGUUCCUGUGAACUGUGUGAUGGUGCUGCUCCGGUCCCCGAGUCUUACCUCUCCCAGCCUCCCAUAUGGGUCUCUCUCUUCCAACCUCUCAGGAUGUCAUAUGACGAUUUCAUCUACCAUUUCACAAAGCUGGAGAUCUGCAACCUCACGGCGGAUGCCCUGGAGUCCGACAAGAUGCAGACGUGGACGGUCUCCGUGAACGAGGGCCGCUGGGUGAGGGGCUGUUCUGCCGGAGGCUGCCGCAACUUCCCAGGUGGGAGAGGCUCGGGAUGGGGGAGGGUCCAAGGGCAACAAGUUCCAGGUGGAAUAAUUCCAUUCACUGAGUCUGUAUUAAGUUCCAGGUGUAUCUUAUCUUAUUAAACCCUCCCUAUUUUACCAAGAAGGAAACCGCCUGCUGAGGAGUGUGCGGUGGGGAGCUGGUAACAACUUUUCAGCAGGACACUGUGUCGGAACAACACUACAUUCAUAAUGCUGAGAAUGGGACUGGAAAACGGAGUUAGCAGAGCCUGCCAGGGCACAAGCCAGAGAUGAUGAAAACCAAAGCAAGUCGGGGGCAGCAGAGAUGGAGGGAAGAGGGCAGAUUUAGGGAACAGAAUAUUGGGUGACGUCACUGAAGAGUGACUUCAAGCUUCCCAGUUUGGGGGGCCCGAGUGGAUGGUGUCAAUGUCGCAAUGUAAAACAUACAGGAGGGAAAAAUCAGCAUGUUGUUUGUUUUUUUGGUGGAGUUGGUUGUGGGCUUGUGGGGAGAGGAGUUCGGUUUGGCACAUGGGAAGUUGAGGCACCUGUAGAAAUAUCCAGGUGAAGACGUGUCCUAGAGAAUUGGAUACACAGAUUAGAAUGGUACUUGGUUGUAUGAUUAGAACUUGAUAUAUAUUUGUGGAAUAUAUAUAGUUCAGGCAUUAUGGUCAUGCAGGGACAGUUAAAAAGUGGAUAAAACAGGAGCGCCUGGGUGGCUCAGUCAGUUAAGUGUCCGACUUUCCAUCUCAGCUCGGGUCACGAUCUCAGGGGUUUGUGAGUUGGAGCCCCACAUGAGGCUCACAGCUGUCAGUUCAGAGCCUGCUUUGGAUUCUCUGUCUCCCUCUUUCUCUGCCCCUCCCUGCUCUCUCUCUCUCAAAAAUAAACAUUAAAAAAAGUUUUUUUAAGUGGAUAAGACGGCCUAGGGAGGCAGAAUAGUGGGGUGGGAGAGAGGCCUAAGACCACAUCCCAAGGACCAACAACAUUUAAAGGGCAGGUGAGGAAAGGGAAACCAUCAGCAGAGAAUGAGAAUCACAGCUCCGGGAGGGGGAAGAAGCCACACACAGCCAAGCAGUGAGGCUCCAUCUCUAUAAAGGUGGAGCACAGUUCCCCCCACAUAGUUUGGCAAAUGCCUGCGUCAUGCCUUCUGUAUUUAUUGAGCGCCUAGAUGCAGGGGAUAAAUAGGUUCCCUCUGUCUUAUUUCCCUUCCUGACCUUUCUCUGAGAGGCAGAUCUGAAUGUACGUUUCCUUCCUUGGGGGCACAGACACUUUCUGGACCAACCCACAGUACCGUCUGAAGCUCCUGGAGGAGGACGAUGACCCUGAAGACUCGGAGGUGAUCUGCAGCUUCCUGGUGGCCCUGAUGCAGAAGAACCGGAGGAAGGACCGGAAGCUGGGGGCCAACCUCUUCACCAUUGGCUUUGCCAUCUACGAGGUGUGCAGUUCCUAACUAGCUUUAGCCCAGGAAACACAUUCCUUGGGGGUGGGGAGCCUCCCAAAUACUCAGUGCCCGCCCCCCUGGCCCUGAACUCCUAGAAUCAGACCCUCAUGUGUCAGAAUCUCUUAGAUAUUUGUAAUGAGUGGAAAAAACCAGGUUGGGGGAGAUGGAGCAGGGCUGGGCUGGGGCUGGGGCUGGCCAGAUAGAUGAGGAGUAGAUGAGGAGUCAGACAUCUGCAUUCACUCCACAGUUGUGGGCAUUCCCUCCCUGCAAGAGUUUCAUCCCCAUUCAGAUCUGAAGUCCACAGAAUCUGAGCGUCUUCUUUUUCUGUUUCUCCUCAAGGUUCCCAAAGAGGUACAGAAGUGGCAGCGGCCAGCAGUUGUGUGCAGCAUUACCUGGGGGUCCUGUGUCCAUCAGUGGCACAUCGGGAAGCUUCCUGGUGGGGUUUGAGGACAGGACUAUGAUAGGAGAGGGUCUCGCCUGGGUCACACAACUCCAGAGCGGGUGCCUCAGGGUACUGCAUGACCCCCUGACUAUCACCCUCAUGAGAAGCCCUUUAUCCCUUCCCACCAGAGACUGUCACACAUACGCUCUCACACAUUCAUACGCACUUCUUCUCUCACACACACGCAUACACUUGCUCACACUCAUACACAUUUGUACUCACAGUUACACACUCACGCACACAGUCACACAGACACAUUCUGAGGGUGACUGCCCUCUUUGGGAUGGAGGAAUCGCCUCCCUCAGACCCCAGCCAAGGCCCCUCCUGCCUCCUUGGGGUCCUUCCCCAGCCUGGAGGUGAUUUGGAGCUGACCAGCAGCAGUUCUGGUAAGUGGGGGGAAUGAUAGACUUGACCUUCACUUCUGAAUCACAACAGAAAAAGAGGAAAUGGGGUAGGGAGCUCCAGGGAUGUUGAGCUAUUUGAGGCCUUGGGAAUCGGAAGUAGGUAGGUCAUGACAGUGAACUGGGUAACCAGGGAGUUGGGGUAACCCCUGGACGGGGACUGUGAGCAGGACAGGACAUCCUUCUGGAGGAGCUCAGGUCCCUCGGGCUCUUCUCCCCUUCAGAUGCACGGGAACAAGCAGCACCUGCAGAAGGACUUCUUCCUGUACAAUGCCUCCAAGGCCAGGAGCAAGACCUACAUCAACAUGCGGGAGGUGUCUGAGCGCUUCCGCCUACCUCCCAGCGAGUAUGUCAUCGUGCCCUCCACCUAUGAGCCACACCAGGAGGGAGAAUUCAUCCUCCGGGUGUUCUCUGAAAAAAGGAACCUCUCUGAGUGAGUCAGCCUGCUUUCCCCUCCUGUCCCUAAAAGCCCAUGUGGCCCAUUCCAGAGAUUGGAGAUGUGAGGUAGCUGGACCUGUCACCUCCAGGAAUCCUGGGAUAUGUUGGCCAGGCUGCCCUUCUUCCUCUGCUCCUGAGUCACUGGCCACAUCUCCUCCAUUUGUUUAGUCAGUCUGUCACCCCACAGAUCUCUAUAGAGAACCUACUAAGUUCCAGGCACUCUUUUUCUAGGGACUAAGGAUAGAACAGUGAAUUAAACAGAAAGAAAUCCCUGCCCUCAUGGAGUUCAACAUUCUAGCAUGAGACAGCAAUGCAUAGGGGGAAAAAUAUGCAUAUAUGUGUUUGAGGGAGGUAAGUGAUAAGGAGAAAGAAAUACAGUAGGGAACAAGGAUAGGAGGCAUUAGGGGUGACGGAACUUUUAUGUGAGGUGACCAGGGAAGCCAGCAAGGCCACAUCCUGCAUUUUUUGCUCACUGCAGAUGAUUUCAUAAGCCCAACUACUCUGGACUCUGCCCUUGAGAAACACAAAGUCUAGGGGUAGGUGGCUGAGUCUGGGCACCUGGGCAAAGCCAACAAGAACCCAUGUGUCUGCACUUGGCUGCUGGGGAUGGUGCCUACAUGGGGUUGGUUCCCGUGGUGGAGUAUUAGUUCCUGUGGUUCCCUUGAAGUCAGCUCUGACUUGGCUCUGAGGACCUGUGUGGCCUGGGCAAAUUCUCUCUAUGCUACCUGCUUACUCCUGGGGACAGUGAGACCCCCGCUCAUGUUUGUGUUUCUCCACAGGGAAGUUGAAAAUACAAUCUCCGUGGAUCGGCCCGUGGUGAGUGCUUUAGUUCUUAUGUGUGAGAAGGUCCAGAGGCUCACCUUCCCCCAUGCAGGCAGGGGACAUAGGGGCGGUGGAGGGGAGAGUGGGUAUUGGCAGAGAAGAUGGGAGUCUGGGGCCUGCAGGGCAAUUCUUCCAUGUUAGUGCAGUUUCUGUUUGUCCCAACUAGAGGUAACAGGCCUCACGGUACUGGGCCGUGUACUCAAUCCAGGGUCUAGGAAGCACAGAAGAAGAGUCUUGGAAGGGAAAAGCAGUUUGAACAGCGAGAGAGAGGGGUCAAGGCCAUAGUAAGGGACAACAAGAGCAACAGAUUGGAUUAUGAGAGUCAGUCUCACAUAUGGAAAAGAAUACACACCAGCUCUGGAGUCAGCAUCAAAACCUGGGUCCUCCACCUAGAGCUGGGUGAUUUGGACAAGUUAUGUAACCCCUCAUUUUCCUACUCUGUAAAAUGGGGACAAUAAUAUGUGCCUUGCAAGGCUCUUAGGAAGUUUGAAUCAAUGAGAUCAUGUAUGUGAAGUGCCUGGCACAGCACAGAUCCUUAAAUGGUGGUUAUAAUUCAUGUGCUUUAUAUCUCAAAAGGUACUUCCCACAUGCAUUACCUCACUUGAUCCUUGCAAGGUUUCUGAGAUGUGAUAAGAUUAUUAUCAUCCCUGGUGCUAAGGAAGUAGAGGUUCAGUGGGGUUAAAUGGCUCCCGUGGUUCACAGGUCUCAUUAAAUGGCAGGGCUGAAACUGACAUUCAGAUUCUCGGAGCCCAGAUUCUCCAGGUUCUCAGGCUGCUUCCCCAGUCGCCAUGUGGAGACCAGUUCCCACGUGUUUGAGUCCGUGAGUUAGAAGCACAGAGUUGGUAUAUGUGGCUUCUCUUUGUUAAGGAGUCUUGUGACUGCCUUGGGCUUUUGGGCCUUGGUUUAUAAACAUCCCCUGUGCUCUGUGUGACUUGGGCCAAUAAGAGGACAGCAAAUGCCCCACUGAGCUAUCUUCUGGGUGGUGACACUCAGGGCUCCAAUCCUGACCCUAUGCCAGUGCCAGAUCUCCAGGUGCCUUCUGAAUUAUCACAGGACAUUCAUCUUAGGAUUAAAUGCAUUUGGUUCUAUUCUUAUUUGUGAAACAUUAGUAAUCAGGGUAGUAUAUUGAUGAGGAAUCUCAAACUCAGGAGCUUAUGGGAGCUGACAUGCCACUGAACUGGGUAGGGCAGGCACAUGUGGGGCUUUUGAUGUCCCUCCACAGACAUGUUCGCCUGGAGUUCUCAACUGACACCUAGCUUCAGUGUUGGAGGGACAACCGGAGUGGUGGUGACUAUGGCAUCUGGAGGGUACAGGCAGCAGCUGCCCUCAGCUCCCCAGAUCGUUGCCAGUGCAGCCUGCCAGACCUCCUAGUUUUAUUUUGUUUUAAAGCCCCAAACUUAGAUUCCCACAUUAAGUCUCUCCCUAUGUUAUAAAUAUCUGCUAAAACAAAACGGGGGCGCCUGGCUGGCUCAACGGGGGCGCCUGGCUGGCUCACUCGGUAGAGCAUGCAACUCUUGAUCUCGGGGUUGUGAGUUUGAGCCCCAUGUUAGACAUGAAGCCAACUUAAAAAGAGUUUUAAAAAAUUAAAACAAAACAAACCCCCCCAAACUCUGGAAGUCAAGCAAAAUUCAUUUUCAGGCCAGUUUGGGUGAGCCACUUUUUUUGGUGUUUUAGAAACUAACUUCACUUAAAAAUAUAAAACUUUAGCCCGAAGAUUCCUUUCCUUGGCGGUGUCUAAUAGGAGUGGACUAUAAGAACGGCCACCAGAGCGGCCACCAGUCUCUGAGCAUGGAGAACUCUGACCUCCCUUCACCCUCCAGGCCUCUUUUGGCUCUGUGUGGCCCAGAUUUCUGGACCCCAGAGCCUCACUCCAAGCUGAGGCCCAAAUCACAGGGAAGUCAAAAGCCACUGGGUUUUCUGGAAACUUGAUUUUCACUUAUUCUGCAUUUGUUGUUUCCUUUCCUUAUGCAGAAAAAGAAAAAAACCAAGGUGGGUGUAACAGGGUGAGUGGGUAGACAGCAGAGUGUGUUUGUGCAUGUGUGUGUGUGUGACAGCAUGUGUACCAGACUUGCCUCUUCCCUCACUGACCCCCACCUCGCCUUCCUGGGCCCAGGUCACAGCUAAGGGUGUGGACCAAUGUUAGCUAACACUGGCCAGGUGAAGGCUACGGGCCAGGCACUCUUCCAGGUGCUUUCCAUGGAUAUGCUCAAUCCUCACAACAACCCCAUGACAUUGGUACUGUUAUCCUCCCCACUUUCAGAGAAAGAAAAGGUACAGAUGGAUCCCCUAAAUUGUCCAAGUGUGGCAGAAGCAGCACUAAGAGCCCAGGCAGUCUGGCUCCAGAGUCUGCCCUGAACCACCAUGCUCACCUUUCAUAUGAGGGAGGAAGAGGAUGGCCAACCAGUGAAAAUGGGCCUGAUAUGGGGGCUCUUGCAAAAACCAGGAGCACCCCUUCUUUCUCAGAAGUGCUAAGUAGGGCUUGAUUCUUUGGGGUGGGGGGAACAGCAACUGUUUGUGUUUCCCAGGGUACAGUGAAGACAGGUGUGUGAGGGUUUCCAUGGAGAGAGUCUUGAGAUGCCAGGUGCUUGCUCUGGAGGCAGCACUGCUCCUUCUCCCUCCUUUCCGUUCCCUGCCUCCUCCCCACUCCUCCUGUUUCCUUAGCCUGCUCUGUAGGAGAUGACAGAGGAUGCCCAGAGAGGCUAAGUCACGACCAGGGCUCUCGUUCCAGGUGAAGCUUGUUCCACAUCCUUUUCUAGGAAAGCAGCCUCUCCAUAGGCCUGCUCCUCAAAGCCAUGGAACCCAACAGACCUGUGUCCAGGUAGCAGUGGAGAAAGGGAAAGAGAACUUCACCCUCAUAGCCCCAGAGUUGCUGAUCAACUUGACUGGUUUAAUGGGGAAUGAGAGCUACUUGGACAGCUUCCCCUCUUGGGGUCUUGGGAGGUUGCUAUGAUCCAUUGAUUCACCAGGGCCUCAGUGUCCUGAUUAUAACCACUUUGUUAUGAGGACACCAUUGCUAAAGGUGACCAUGUGUGGUAAGAGCAUCUCAGGGACCUCAGAACAAAGCUUUCAUCUGGGACCAGCGGCAUUGUUUCCUUUGUGUGGUUUUGGAAUUCAGAAGUACAGUUGUUUAGCAACUCAAAUCCCCUCCUAUAUCCCAGCUCCAUGUACCCCAUAACCUUCCCUUGUCCCCAGGGCCUAUAGUGAUGACUAACCCUUUCAGAAUUUUGGUUUGACUGCUCAGAGUGCCAUACAGAGAUGACUGACCUUUGGGCAUCCUCGGGCCCAUGAGGUAGUUAGCCACAGGCCUUCGGAUGAGGUUUGGCAUUAGUGUUUUAUGGUGGUGCCUGGAAGGAUCUACCAUAGAGGUCCUCUAAGUGUUGACGCUGGUGCAGACCAGAGCUGACACUGAUCAAGCACCUACCAUGCAGUAGGCACUGUGAUAGGGGUAAAACAUACAUUGUUUUCAGUUACAACAGUAUCUACAAGGUGAGCGCUAUGACCAUUCCCCUUUUAUAGAUACUUUACAAGUAUUCAGAGAAGUGAAGAGACUUGCCAAAGAAACAACUAAUGAAUGGGGAAACUGGAAGCCACAUCGAUCUGCCCCCAAACCCAUGUUUCUUGCCCUCACUGAUCUGGUGCAGGCCCCUUACACUCCAAGACCUGUGUUUUCCAGACCCACACUUGGGCCCAGAGAUGUGUGCCUGGCAGGGGUGAUUCAUGGCCACACCAUGGCCAAACCAUAUCCAUAGGCACACAUUUCCCCUCCAACUGUGACCCACAAUUGCUCUAGGAUCCUCACAGGCAUCAUUUGCUUGCACAAGACCCUUUGCUUGGAAGGUAGAGCAAGCCAGGGCUGUUGGGGCCUGCUGGGAGCCAAAGUUCUAGGAGCUGUUUCUAUAGGUCUGACCAUUUGUGCAGUUCUAGAUGAACCACAUGGAAAGGCAGAAGGGGAUUCAGAAACCGGUCCCAUUGCUUUUUUGCUUAGAGAGAUUCUGACUGCCACAUUGCUCUCUGCACUGCAGCCAUGAGCCCCUAUAACCUUGCCUUCCUCUGGCUUUCCCUGUGGGGUGAUGGCACCAACGAAGGGUGGCACAGCAUGGCAGCCGCUCCCUGCUCUUUUUGUGUCCUCUUCACUUGCUUGAGCAUGUCUUGAAAAUAUCCCUUAUAUUUGGGUAGCAUCUUCAGUGUUUUUGCAGUAGCUCUAUAUUCAGCCUCGCAUGCGAUCCCCACCAAAGCCCCAUGAGAAAGGCCGAGCAGGUUCUGUUAUCCGCAUUAAUGGAUGCAUUACGGGAGGCCAGAGAGGUUAUUGCUCGUUUGUGAGGACAGGACUGGAAUUUUAGCCCUGUGUUCUGACCUCUCACCCAUUAAUCGGAGUCUUUUUUCAGUCUGUCCUCUGCGGUGUCGCAGAGGUUCCUUGGAGGUGCCUCCGUAGCUGCCACAGCUGAUACAGGUGUGCUGAGGAAAAAGAGCUCUGCCCUCUUCAUCAAGCGGAGAGGCUUGUUUUUAAUGACGUGAGAUACACUGGGCUUCUGGGGAAAUUUAAUUUGAACAGUGUUUCCAUUUGAAAAAAAAAAAAAAGCCUAAAAAUAAUAGAAUAUCAUUGUAGUGGAUCUCACUACUUUUAACAUUCUUAGCGUUUUCACAGGUACUACCUACCUUGUCGAACCCUCCUAGCUCUACCAUCAGGAGAUAAGGACCUGAGGUCCAGAGAGACCUAGCAUCUUACCCCAAGUCACACAGCUUGUUAGCGGCAGGGAUGGAGCUUGAACUGAGGUUCAAGAGCUCCCAGCUCUGCUCUUUUCCUCUUCACUAGACGAAGCCGCUCCAGGAGGGAGGCUGCCUCCAUGUGCCCGCUCAGCCUGUAAUCCUUGCUUCCUUCCUGCCCCUUCCCUACUUCCCUCUUCUCUCCAGCCCAUCAUCUUCGUUUCGGACAGAGCAAACAGCAACAAGGAACUGGGUGUGGACCAGGAAUCAGAGGAGGGCAGAGACAAAGCAAGCCCUGAUAAGCCAGAGAAAUCCCCACAGGUUUUUGAGCAUGUGGCAUGAAUGGGGUGGCUAGCAAACAGUGGGGGCCUCUGGAUUGGAGGGGCUGUAUGGUGGGGUGUCCCUUUAAUGUCUGCAGGUUUGGAUUUAUCCCAGUGACCUUUUCUCUCAUCACGUUCUCCUAAAAUUUGGGAUGCUGCUUGGGCGAAUGUCUUGAGGGGGUGGCAGCCACACCAAGCCAGUCCCAGGCCUAGGAAGGACAGGCUAAGCCUGCCCACUGGAGCCCCCCAGCCAGGACAGCGAAGGAAAAGGAAGGCAGAGCCUGGGACACAGCCAGCUUGAGAGAGCCCAAGACAGAACAACUCCUGUGCCCUGGUGUCCUCGAGCUCUUGACAAUGAGGGGAUAAAGAAUAGUAGCAAAAAAGGGAUGGACAUCCGCACUGGAGUCCUGUGGAGCCCAGGGAAGGGUAUUAGAUUGAUGUGGGGAGAGGAGGUCAUAUAAAGCUUUAGUGGAGAUGAGGCUGAGGGACCAAAGUCCACAGAUCGAUCCGGGGCCACCUCCUCCAUCGUGGAAUGUCCAUCGUGGAAUGUCCUCCUCCAUCGUGGCGUGUGGGCAUCCUCUGAGGAUUUGGCCUUGAUGACAGAGGUGGCAGGAAGUACCAAAAUGGUCUGGUCCCCUUUGUCCUUCUAGAGCUCAUUUGGUUCGGAUGGUCAAGCUCAAAACAGUGGUGGGGGUGGGGAGAGAAGACCAAGGGGGCUGUCUACAUGUCGGCAUGGCUUAUCUAACUCCUCUGGCUGGGAUGUCUGGAGCGAAGGGUCGCUGGGCCUAGAGGAUUGUCACUCCGGCUCACUAAGUUCAACUGAGAAAAGCCAUUUGUCCUGUACCCAGCUCCUGCUGCCACCUAGGGCUGGUUUAGGCACUCUGGCUCCCUCGACCCGAAGGAACUUUCCUCAUGGGUCUGUCUGUCUCCCUGAUCACUGUGAACCACUUUUCCUUUGUGCUUCCACAGCCACGGCCUGGCAACACCGGCCAAGAGACUGAGGAGCAGCAGCAGUUCCGGAACAUUUUUAGGCAGAUAGCAGGCGAGGUGAGUACCGCCAACCUGGACUCCUACAGAGGCUCCUCUCCUUGAUUAGCUGCUCUGAUGACCAGUUAUUUCAUUAUUGUUCAGUAGGGGCCCUUCUGGCUUUUGGUGGAAAUGGGGGAUAUGCAUGUGUGCCACAGAAAUCCACACACAAAUCCUCAGGUCCUUGAGUUUAGACCAACAUCCACUUGGGUGCCUCGGAGGCCUUUUUGCUCUGAGCUGCCCACUGUGGUCUGGACACUGAGGGUGCUGUGUCUUCCUUGGAAAAACCCCAGCCUCCCAUGACAGAAUAGCACUGACAGGGACUUUACCAACAUGGAGAGCUGGGAUUUGUUUUGCAAACCCUCUGUUCCAUCAGCUACUGUCCCCUUGGACUGUCAUUCUCUACUCCCUUCCUCCUCAGGAUAUGGAGGUCUGUGCAGAUGAGCUCAAGAAUAUCCUUAACACGGUUGUGAACAAACGUGAGUGGCUCAGACUGUGUGUGGAGGACGGGCAGGCAAUGAGUGUGUGUCCGGUUAUCUGAAAGAAGCUCCUCACUCUUCUCCAUACCUCCCAGAUAAGGACCUGAAGACACAAGGGUUCACGCUGGAGUCCUGCCGUAGCAUGAUUGCUCUCAUGGAUGUAUCCUUCCCGCCACCCUCCCCCCGCCCCAUGCAGCCCCUGGGGGCCAAAGCAACAAUGAGGGGUGCCCAGUGAGAAAGAGGGGCCGUUGGAGGAGGCACAGCUGGGCAAGACAUUGGGUUGUAACCAGCCCCUAACCUCUGCCCUCACCUUAGGCCUGGGAUUCUGCCUAAGGCCCUGCCUGAGCAAAAAUGGUCCUUAGGAGAUAGGCUCCUUGGGUUUUAGAGCAGACACUAACUUUGGCUGAGAAGGUGUGGAGGGGAGGGUUAAACCCCAGGACAGGACAGUGGGUAGGAUAUCUGGGGCAGAGCCUUCCUGUGAGGCGACCUUCCCUGUAGUCCCCUAGACCCCCCUUCCUUCCAACCCAGGGGGAUUUCGCUAUGUGUGCCCUGUAGCCCUGACCUCCUUCCUCCAGACAGAUGGCUCUGGGAGGCUGAACUUGCAAGAGUUCCAUCACCUUUGGAAGAAGAUUAAAGCCUGGCAGGUGAGCAGAGAACGAAGCAAGGGAGUGAAAGAGGGGGUUAAUUCAGGGGGUUACUAUGUGACCUCUGUCCUGAAAUUUUCUAUUGCCAGAAAAUUUUCAAACACUAUGAUACAGACCAGUCUGGUACCAUCAACAGCUAUGAGAUGCGAAAUGCAGUCAAUGAUGCAGGUGCUGGGGAAGCAAGUGGGUGGUGGGGAUGUGGACUCGGGCUGGUGGAAGCAGGAACUGGAGGGUGGGGGCAGAAGGCCGCUAGGGGCCUACUAGCCAAAGGAAGGAGAAAGUGCUUCUCAUCCCCCAGGCCAGAGUGGCUGAGAGGCAGGGAAAAUAGAAUGCCAGGCUAAUCCUCAGCCUCCUUCGUCCUCUCCCGUGCUGCCCCCUACAGGAUUCCACCUCAACAGCCAGCUCUACGACAUCAUCACCAUGCGGUAUGCAGACAAGCACAUGAACAUCGACUUUGACAGCUUCAUCUGCUGCUUCGUCAGGCUGGAGGGCAUGUUCAGUAAGUGCGGGGGCUACCUUUCUGCACUCUUGUGCCCCUCCCCCCACAGUGACAGGAGCCGCAAUAGGAAUCUCAGCCUGAUCAUCUUCUAGUCUACUCCAUCCAACAGGGUCUGAACAAAAGCACAGACUCUCUUUAAGCUCAGAAUGGGCUGGCAAAGGGAGGAUGAUGGUUGGUACUUGGCCCAGCAGAUUUUUGUGCUGAAGGACAACACUUAGUACACAGUCCUCUUAAGAAAAGUUAUAAUACUGGAGGGGAAGGGACCCUUUAACUGGCCUCUGGCCUGUGCAUUCUUCCACACAGGAGCUUUCAAUGCAUUUGACAAGGAUGGAGACGGUAUCAUCAAACUCAACGUUCUAGAGGUAAAGCCUAAUAGAAGCAGUACACUCACCACACACCUUCAAAUUCAGGGUGGAGGAAUCAAUGGAGGUGGAGGGAUGGAAUGGGAACGGAAUGGAAAGGGAAGCUCAGCUGGGCAUGUGGCUCGUAGGGAAUGCGUACUGGGAGAAGUCUCCAACGGGGACUUGGAUCCUAAAAGCUUUUAGGCUGGAAAAUAUACCUUUCUAGUAGAGACCGGAGAAGCAUGCCAUAAACCACUGCUUCUUAGAAAAAUCUUCCCAGUGUCUGGCAUGCUGGGGAUGUCCCUUUCCCCCUACCCUAUCACACCCUUAAGGUUGGGCUCUCUUUUCUUGUUCACAUUCUGAUCCUGGGACUUCCUCUUUCAGUGGCUGCAGCUCACCAUGUAUGCCUGAACCAAGCUGGCCUCACCCAAGGCCAUAAAGAUCACUCAGGAUUUCCAUUUCAUCCAAUAUAGCUACAGCCACUUACCUCAAAGGACACAGUAGCUGCACCUACCCCCCCCACACACACCCCGCAAGCCUCCAGGUGCCUCCU